AAUCAUGAAUCACCGGGAAUUUACCUAACUGUAGACGAAAUGCUUGUACCGUUUCGAGGAAGGUGUGGAUUUCGGAUGUAUAUUCCGAAAAAACCUGCCAAAUAUGGAAUUAAAGUGCAGGUUUUGGCUGACGCUAAAACGCAUUAUCUCAUAGAUGCAGAGAUUUAUGCCGGUUCCGAAAUAAAAGUUGAUGGUGCAAAAAAGCCUACAUUAUCAAAUCCAACAAGAGUGGUUCUUAGGCUUGUGGAGUGUGUUAAAGGCACCAACAGGAACAUCACCGGGGACAACUGGUACCGUUCAGUGGAACUCGUCGACAAACGUGGACAUUUGACGUACGUGGGAACCUUACGAAAAAAUAAAAAAUCUGUACCACCUGAAUUUUUACCGAACCGAAAAUGUGCAAUUCAUUCAUCAACGUUUGGAUUUACUUCUUCAACCACUAUAGUGAGCUAUGUGCCAAAAAAAAGUAAAAGCGUUAUAUUAUUUUCUAGCAUGCGUCAUGACAAUUCUGUCAACGAAACAACCAAAAAGCCGGAGAUAAUUCCUUUUUCUAAUGAAACAAAAUUUGGAGUUGAGGCAUUAGAUGCAAAAUGUGCGUUGUAUUUAGUGUCCAGAAGAACUAACCGUUGGCCAAUGGCAAUUUUUUUUGCUAUAUUGAACAUUGCAGGUGUAAAUUCUCGAGUAUUGUACCAAUUUGCAUCAAAAGAUGUGCGACUCAGAAUGGCCAACAAGAAAGUGCACUCAAAUGUAUGAAUCAUCAUUGCUGAAUUUUUGGGGGUUUCUGAGCAGCCUCAAGUACCUCCUGAAAAAAGUAAAAGAAAAAGUUGUGCCAUAUGCCCCACCAAUAAGGAUAUGGAAACUGCUAUCCAGUGUGACAUAUUAAAUAUUUACCAGUACUCAAAAAUAUGCCGACCCAAUACAUCCAUGAACCGUGGAUGUCUCCUGAAAACGUUCAAAAAGUGGCCAAAUGUAUAGUAGGAACCGACUAUCCCUUGUCAAUGGUCAACCAUUUAUCUUUUAGUAAAAUU